CGAUAACUCAUACCACCCUUAUAAGAAAAAAGAAAUUAAAAAUUCAUUAGAAAACUAGACUGGUGUCACUACAUGGUUAAAACAUUAUUAAAGCAUAUUUCAAUGUUUUGCUUACACUAGUGUUCUCAUCAUGGUGCCACCAUUUCAUGACAAAGGCCGUAGAGGAGAAAACAUUCAACUUAAAAUGUCUGCUGGCACACAUCGCUGGAUUUGUGUGUCACUAAACAAUGAGCGAGCAUAGCCUUGAAUACCAACUAUUUAAUUAGCACUUUUGGAAGCCAUGCAUAGAAAAUAGCUCAUUUACAUGCAUCUGCUUAGCGAUUAGUCCCAUAAAAAGCUACCAUUUUUUUUGUUGUUGUUUAAUAUAGCGAACAUUUUACCAUUCGGCCAUGAAAAAAAAUCAAAACAUAUGUUAUUAUUUUCAAAUCCUGAAAUUCAGAGAUUUAAUUAAAAUAGGCAAAAGUCUUCAUAUUUCUUUUCAAGGUAUGUUUAAAUUAUUUAAUUUAACCUUAAGUGUACCAUAAAAGGCUGGAUACAAGUAAUAAUUAAGAACUUCAAAGGGCAAUGGAAACCCUCUAACAGUCCUUGGUUUAAUUAAAGGCUAUUAUUAGAAAGCUCUCAAAUUUACAGUUACUUUUAAUGACAAGUGAUGACU
rnacentral:lncRNA from 1 species